UCUUCCACUGGCGGGAAGGGCUGCUGAAGAAGCCUGCCCUUUCUCAGGUUUCAAAGGCCCGGUUUUGGCUGCCGGUUCUUUUGCCGGCUGGGAGGAC
rnacentral:tRNA from 1 species